rnacentral:ncRNA from 2 species
UAGUUUGAAUUGGCCAGCAAUGGUUGUAGGUAUUUUACGUUCACUGGGAACAAUCAGGACGGUUAGAGUAUGGCCACAUGAAUGAUUCAGCGCCAGUAUGAAGUCUUGUUUUCUUCCGAAAACAAGCUCAAUGAGAGCCAUCGGGGGUAGAUCUAUCUCAUGACGAGUGGUGGAAUACUUUGACUCAUGAGAGAGAAGCUGAGGCGAAGGCGUCUACCUAGAGGGUUUCUGUCGAUCAAGGGCGAGAGUAGGAGUAUCCAACAGGAUUAGAGACCCUGGUAGUUCCUACCUUAAACGAUGCCGACAGGAGUUUGUCAUUUGUUAAUGGCAGAAUCUUUGGAGAAAUCAUAGUUCUUGGGCUCUGGGGGAACUACGACCGCAAGGCUGAAACUUGAAGGAAUUGACGGAAGGGCACACCAGGGGUGGAGCCUGUGGCUUAAUUUGAAUCAACACGGGGAAACUUACCAGGACCAGAUGUUUUUUAUGACUGACAGGCUUCGGGUCUUUCAGGAUAUUGUUUUUGGUGGUGCAUGGCCGUUGGUGGUGCGUGGGUUGACCUGUCUAGCGUUGAUUCAGCUAACGAGCGAGAUUAUCGCCAAUUAUUUACUUUGCCGAAGUCCUUCGGUUAAAGUUCUAAUUGGGACUCCCUGCGAUUUUAGCAGGUGGAAGAGGGUAGCAAUAACAGGUCCGUGAUGCCCUUUAGAUGCUCUGGGCUGCACGCGUGCUACAAUGUUAGGAUCAAUAGGACUGCGAGCCUGAGAGGGUGCGCUACUCUUAUAAUCCCUAACGUAGUUGGGAUUGACGUUUGUAAUCAGCGUCAUGAACCAGGAAUCCCUUGUAAAUGUGUGUCAACAACGCACGUUGAAUACGUCCCUGCCCUUUGUACACACCGCCCGUCGCUCCUACCGAUUGGAUGACUCGGUGAAAUCACCGGAUGCUUACGAGCAGAAAGUGA